UACAGAGGGUGCGAGCGUUGUCCGGAAUCACUGGGCGUAAAGGGUGCGUAGGCGGGUCUUUAAGUCAGGGGUGAAAUCCUGGAGCUCAACUCCAGAACUCCCUUUGAUACUGAAGAUCUUGAGUUCGGGAGAGGUGAGUGGAACUGCGAGUGUAGAGGUGAAAUUCGUAGAUAUUCGCAAGAACACCAGUGGCGAAGGCGGCUCACUGGCCCGAUACUGACGCUGAGGCACGAAAGCGUGGGGAGCAAACAGG
rnacentral:rRNA from 1 species